GGCCAAGGUCGAUCGUGCGUGGACUAUGGGGACCACAAAUGUUGUUCAGAUGCAGCCAACGAAACAGCGACCGCCCACGUGUGUGAUCCGGCUGACGUGUGUACCACAGACAGCGAAUGUGCCACUGGAAGCACGUGUGUAAACUAUGGCGACCAUAACUGCUGUACUGUGACGUCAGCGAGUUCAACCAAGGUUCAUACCUGCCCACACAGUAUGUGUAAAUCCAACGCGGACUGUGGGGGUCACGGAAGUAAAUGCAAGAACUAUGGGGAUCACGGUUGUUGCGUAGGGGGGCAUGGUGCUCAUUAAUAAAAGUCAAAAUGUUAAAAUGCUGUCAAACGUUUUUUUUUAAAGCGUUAUUAUUUGUGGAUAAAAUAAACAAUUCUAAAAU
rnacentral:misc_RNA from 1 species